ACUGCCUUUUUUUGAUGUUCCCAAUUUGUGGAGCCCGAUAAUGUCGCCUUUUAGGUUUAAGAUUAUCGGUUUUUUAUUU
rfam:Serratia symbiotica str. Tucson genomic scaffold scaffold00329, whole genome shotgun sequence.